rnacentral:rRNA from 1 species
CAGUCGCCGCGGUAACACGUAGGGUGCGAGCGUUAAUCGGAAUUACUGGGCGUAAAGCGUGCGCAGGCGGUUGUGUAAGACAGGUGUGAAAUCCCCGGGCUUAACCUGGGAACUGCGCUUGUGACUGCACAGCUAGAGUAUGGCAGAGGGGGGUGGAAUUCCACGUGUAGCAGUGAAAUGCGUAGAGAUGUGGAGGAACACCGAUGGCGAAGGCAGCCCCCUGGGCCAAUACUGACGCUCAUGCACGAAAGCGUGGGGAGCAAACAGGAUUAGAUACCCGGGUAGUCCCUGUCUCUUAUAC